GAUCAGGUAAGGGUGAAACGGCGAGGUAAGAGCUCACCGCGUCCACGGUAACGGCGGACGGCACGGUAAACCCCAUCCGGAGCAAGACCAAAUAGGGAAGCUGAGGCGUGGCCCGCGCUGCUUCCGGGUAGGUUGCUUGAGCCUGUCGGUAACGGCAGGCCUAGAGGAAUGAUUGCCGAACCCUGCCAAGGGGGGAACAGAACCCGGCUUAUCGGCCGGCUUUCCAC
rnacentral:RNase_P_RNA from 1 species